rnacentral:lncRNA from 1 species
AUGUUUCACACAGUGUAGAAGACAAGAGUUCUAGAAGUUGUUUCUAUGUUCAUCCAGGAUAUAGUUUCACUGUUCUUGAGGUAAGUACUCAAGGUCUGAUAAGAAAGAGGGUUGAGGGCUAUUUAUUUAGAGACUCUUGUUAAUAGCAGGCUCAAACUGUAUUCUCCUUGGUGUUGCAAAUAAUUCUUUUUCCUGUGUCAGGCUGAGUGUUAUGAGUCCAACGAAGGUUGGACAAGAAUUCACAAGUUGGUUUGAUAUAGUCCCACUUGUUUAUUUUAGCUUUUGGUGUUGGAUGCAAAAAUAUUAUUGCCAAGACCAGUGUCAAGGAGCUUACGCUUAUGUAUUCUUCUAAGAUUUUUUUUAGUUUUAGGUCUUAACUUUAAAUCUUUAAUUCAUUUUCAGUUGAUUUUUUUUUUUUUGUAUGCUGUAGGGCAGGGGUUCAGUUUUAUCCUUUUGCAUGUGCUGCCUAGUUUUCCCAAUACCAUUGAUUGAAGAAACUAUCCUUUCCCCAUUGUAUACUCUUGGCUCUUUUUCAUAAAUUAAUUGACAAUACAUGCAUGGGGUUUAUUUCUGGUCUAUUUGUUCCUUUAAUCUAUGUGUCUGUUUUUCAUGAAUAUCAUAGUGUUUUGAUUUCUUUAGUUUUGUAAUGUAGUUUGAAUAAAGUGCAAUAUCUCUAACUUUGUUUUUCCUUUUCAAGAUUGCUUUGAUUGUUUAGGGUCACUUGUGGUUUAAUACAGAUUUUUCAGAUUGUUUUUCCUAUUUCUGUUAAAAAACCAGUGAAACUUUGAUAGCUGAUAACACCAUAUUAUAUAAUUGAAAUUUUCUAAGUGAGUAGAACUUAAAUGUUCUCAUCAUAUAGAUAGAUAGAUGGAUAGAUAGAUAGAUAGGUAGAUAGAUAGAUAGAUAGAUAGAUAGAUAGAUAGAAUGAUGGAUACAUUAAUUAGAUAGAUGGGAGGAAUCUUUUCAUCAUGUACACAUAUAUCAAAUCAUCAUGACAUACACUUAAAUGUCUUACAAUUUUAUUUUUCAAUUGUACUUCAGUAAAGUCCAAAAAAACAAUUGACAUGUUGGAAAUUUCUAUUAUAACUUGGCUUUUUACUGUCAUUGUAAACUUGGGACAACUGAGUUACCUCCUCUAUUUCUUCGUAUAUGUUACUUUUACUUUGUUAUGCAUAAAAAACCUUUACUUUGUUACAAUGAUUAAAUAAUAGCUUUUUUACACAGAGCAAAGCCCUCUCUGUAUAAAAAUGGUGCCAUUUAUUGAACAACUGCCCUGUGCCAGCCAUUUUUAUGACAAUCCUAUGUCCUGUAAAAAAACCUGCAUUACUCACUUCUCAUUUCCUUAAGAGUUGAAUGGAGACAAAAACACAUCUGCUAGUUAAUUGUACAGAAUGUAUAUGCAUUCCAUAGUAUUUAAUAAAUUAUCUCUCUCAAAUUGCAUAUAUAUAUUGAAAGGGGACGUAGAAGUCUUUUAAAAUGAACAUCUAUUGAGCAGAAUUGAGUUGACCAUACUCAGUACAUGGCACACCUGCACAAAUCACUGUAAGGCAUUAUUUUUUAUUUUGUCAUUUUUUUAGAUGAAUCACAAUAUCCACUUGAUUCCCCUACCCCUUAUAUAUGCACACCCCAAUCUAACAUAUGUAUUGUAUUUUCUUCUCAUUGAUCUUCCACAUGUUUAUGUGGAUGUAUGCUUUUCCUUGAAAAAUAUGUUACAUAAUGUGCUUUUAAAAAGCACAUUGUAUUGUAUCAUAAAUUUAACUUCUGAAUACUUUUUUAAAAUUUGAGCUUAGAUAAAUCUAUCUUUACUGAUAUAUUGAAAUGUAUUAUCAGUUCUGAGGUUGCAUGAAACAGCAGAUUGUAUGCCACAUACUAUUCAUUCAUUCUCUUUCUUGAUGCAUACACUAACUCUAAUUCCUGACUGCUGUGGAAGAUGCUACCAUGAACAUCCACUGUGAUAGACUAUGGCUGCUCAUCACUAUUAACUGACCUCGUGGAGGACUCUUCUCUGCUUUGCUGAGCUUAGACUUACUCAUAUGAAUUACUUUCAUUGAUAAAACAUGAGCAGAAGUGAUGUAUAUCACUUCCAGAGAUGUGUGUGGUAUGUGCUUUGCCUCUGCCUCUUUGAGCAACAGUGUUCCAGAUAAUCCCUGCUCUGUCAGCCUGGGUCCUAGAGUCAGAGUGAUUAUUAUCAGAGCCAUCCUGCCUCAGAGUGUAUAAACAGCACAAAUGAAAAAUAAACUCUACUAUUAUAAGCCAAUAAGAUUUGGGAAAUAUUUAUUACUAUGAUGAAAUAUAUUCAAUUCUGACAUAUAAAAACUGAUGUCAUGAUUAGAUGAUACUAUAAAAUUGUUUCCCUUGAGAAGGGUUGAGGGCAUUUUGUUUGUAGAAAGGAGAAUGAACCCGGUAUGUGUGACGAAGGGGAGAACUGUGAUGGUGGUUAGCACUGUUCAAAAAUGUCAGUUUUCCAGCUAGAUGGUAGGAUUAUAUUUGUUAACCUCUAUUGGUUAUGUGUUCUUGUGCACUUGGUGUGAAAAUUUCUUUGGCCUAUUUACUCAGGAGCUGGACUAUGACAUUAUAAUCUACAUAGCUUUUCAUAGUGGAUACACCGAGUUAUGUACCUUUAACAAAGUGAGAAUCCUUCCCAUUUGCGAUAUUCUAAGAAACACUUUAUAUAUACGUCUUUUUAAUUUUGUACAUCUUUUGGGGAAAUUUGCUUUUAUUGCUUUGAGGAUUCCUCAGAAUGUCAGUGAAAUUAAAGCUCUGGCGUUCCCAUCCUGGUUCAGUGGUUGGUGAAUCCGACUAGGAACCAUGAGGUUGUGGGUUCCAUCCCUGGCCUUGAUCAGUGGGUUGGGGAUCAGGCAUUGCCGUGAGCUGUGGUGUAGGUCGCAGACGUGGCUCGGAUCCCGCGUUGCUGUGGCUCUGGCGUAGGCUGGCGGCUACAGCUCUGAUUGGACUCCUAGCCUGGGAACCUCCACAUGCCGUGGGCGCGGCCCUAGAAAAG